AUGGAAGUGGUGAAUAUUUCCCUAGAUGAUUGAAACUGAAAUUACCGAGCACUAUUAUCUUUCAGAAAAAAAUCCAAGCCAAGGUAUUCUGGUCUAU